AAAGGAUGGUGUGGAGAGACGUUCUAGUUGUACACUGCUUUGUAAAGAGUUUGGUUCCUCCGAGUGCACUAGAAACUAAAAUGCUCUAAGUAGUUCAGCACAGGAGACCCCACCAGUUUGUUGCAAACGUGCAGCGCUCUUCCUUGGAAGUACCAUGCUGUCAUCAGUCACCUUCCAAAGUCUGCAGUCAGCACUCUACACCCCUUGGUGUAUGGAGGCUCUCUUGGAAAUAAGGCCACACACAGUUCUCUGCACAGAAGCAGAAGCUGCCUCAGUACUGGCCAGCUUCCCUGGGGUACCUCAGGCUCCUACAGAACCUUUAAGAAAACUUCACUUGCAGAAAACUUGAGUCAAAAAUUCUGGAACUUGAAAAAGGGCCUCUGGAACUGGCUUUAUCCUGUAACAAAAGCACUGCCAAGCAUCUCAGAAACUACUUAUGUACUGGAGGAGUUCGGGGCCUUCAACUUACCUGGCUUAACGUAACUUCACCAUGGCCUGCCGAGCUGCUAAGUCACUUACAUUCUCAGGUAACCAACCACUGGGCCCUGCCAGCCCUGCUGGCAGCUCUGGCAGCCUCUGCAUCUGACUGUGGACCUUGUACAAAAACCUCAUAAAAUUUUUUUCUGAAAAUGAAGACAAGUACAGAAUUUGGCACUACUUACAUUUGCAGACACUUUUUAGAUUAUGUAUUAAUCUACAAGUUAAUGACCUAUCUUCAUUUCUAGCAGAAGGCUUACUUGAAGACUUAAGGAAUGUAACAUACCAUGGAAACUUCUCACUAUACAUACUCCAUCCCUCUCUUAAAUACUAAAUUAGGUCAAAAAUAAAAGGCACAAACUAAAGAGCAGUAUACCUUACUUCCUGUGGAAAAUACCAGGUAUAUUUCAUCCACCUCAUUAUUAUCAACCUUGGAAGAAAAACAGUGGCUCUCACCCACAGUAGAAAGCCUUUUUUACUAUAGUGGUGAAUCCAGAAUCCUACACUUUCCAACAGGCCACAAUGCAGCUAACCCCUACAACAUGCUUAUUGUUACCCAUUAUACUUUAGGAAAAAAAAAAAAAAAACUAAAAAGGGUGGACAUUUCUAAAAUCAAAGCAGCUUUCUACUGUCCCUUUUUUUGUUUCAAUUUUAAAUGGUCAGAGUAGCCUUCCUUUUCUCUCCAUCCUAGUUCUUUUCCUAAUAGAAAGGCCAAGCAGUGAAGUAAACCUUGGGUGAUGGGAAGUCACACAUGGAAGAAAUGAGAAUUUUAGACAUAUAAUAUCAACUAAUACUAGAAAUUUGCAAGCUGCAACCCCACCUGUCCCAAGAUCCUCCAGUUCCCUAAGACUCAACUAAUCUCCCUUAUAACCAUUAUAGAAACUGAGAACUAUUACAACUAGGAGUUAACCCAGAUAAUUAAAGCCUAGCAGUGACUAAAUUGACAAAAAAAAAAAAAAAAAAAAAAAAAA
rnacentral:lncRNA from 1 species